AUCAAAGCUCACUGGACAGCCGA
rnacentral:snRNA from 1 species